AGAUUGAACGCUGGCGGCAUGCCUAACACAUGCAAGUCGAACGGCAGCACAGCAGAGCUUGCUCUGUGGGUGGCGAGUGGCGGACGGGUGAGUAAUGCAUCGGGACCUACCUCAACGUGGGGGAUAACGUAGGGAAACUUACGCUAAUACCGCAUACGUCCUACGGGAGAAAGCAGGGGACCUUCGGGCCUUGCGCGGUGAGACGGACCGAUGUUCGAUUAGCUAGUUGGUAAGGUAAUGGCUUACCAAGGCGACGAUCGAUAGC
rnacentral:rRNA from 1 species